rnacentral:ncRNA from 2 species
UGACGAUGGUUGGGAGAGACCGGAGCGGCUGCGAUAAGCCCGCGCAAGGCACCGAAGGAGCAAGUCGCCAAACCUGCCGAAUGGCGAUUAAUCUCUCAGGUAAACGUACCGCCAUCCGAC